rnacentral:lncRNA from 10 species
GGCGUGAACCCGGGAGGCGGAGCUUGCAGUGAGCCAAAAUCACGUCACUGCACUCUAGCCUCGGCGACAAAGCGAGACUCCGUCUCAAAACAAAACAAAACAAAACAAAAACUUGGUCGGGCACGGUGGCUCAGGCCUGUAAUCCCAGUACUUUGGGAGGCUGAGGUGGGUGGAUCAUGAGGUCAGAAGUUGGAGACCAGCCUGGCCAAUGUGGUGAAGUCCCAUCUCUACUAAAAAUACAAAAAUUAACUGGGCAUGGUGGCAGUUGCUUGUAAUCCCAGGAGGCUCAGGCAGGAGAAUCACUUGAACCUGGGAGGUGGAGGUUGCAGUGAGCCGAGAUCGUGCAAUUGCACUGCAGCUUGGAUGACAAGAGUGAAACUCCGUCUCAAAACAACAACAACAAAAAAAAAAAACUUGCCAAACUGUUUUUCAGAGUGAUGGUGUAUUUUAUAUUCCCCACUUAUGGCAUUGUCAAUAUUUUUUAUUUUAGCUAUUCUAGUAGAUGUGUGUAGUGGUAUCUCCUAUGUUUUCUUUCUUUCUUUUCCUUUUUUUUUUUUUUUUGAGAUAAGGUCUCACUCCAUCACCCAGGCUGCAGUGCAGUGGCACAAUCAUGGCUCACUGUAGCUUUGACCUCCUGGGUUCAAGGGAAUCCUCCCCUCUCAGUCUCUUGAAUAGCUGGGACUACAGGUGUACACCACCAUGCCUGGCUAAUUUUUGUAUAUUUUGUAGAAAUGAGGUCUCACUGUGUUCCCCAGGCUGGUCUUAAACUCCUGGACUCAAGCAAUCCUCCAAUCUUGGCCUCCCAGAGUUCUAGGAUUACAGGCAUGUGCCACCAUGCCCAGUCUAUGUCUUAUUAUGAAGGUUUUACAGUUUUACAUUUUACAUAUAGGUCUCUGAUCCAUUUUGAGUUAAUUUUUGCAUAAGAUAUGAGGCUUUAGAUUGAGGAUCAUUUUUCUGCCUAUGGAGGUCCAAUUGUUCCAAUACCAUAUGUUGAAAAGACUAGUCCAUCGAAUUGCCUUUGCAGCUUUGUAAAAUAAAUCAAUGGACAGAAGAUGACAUCAGGGAACAUGGUAGAGUAGGGAUCUAUGGGAAUCUUUCUGCCCAUGGAAACAAUAAUUGGAGGAGCAGAAACUGCCUGAAGUAACUAUUAGGUUGGUGCAAAAGUAAUUGCGGUUUUUGCCAUUACCGCAAUUACUUUUCCACCUACCUAUAUUUUGGAAUUCUGUGAUGUAGUAGAAUACUUGCAUCGACCAGGAGAAAGUUUGAUGAACAGGUGGGUAAUUUUUUUUUUUUUUUUUUGAGACAGAGUGUCACUCUGUGACCCAGGCUGGAGUGCAAUGGCACGAUCUCUGCUCACUGCAACCUCUGCCUCUGGGGUUCAAGUAAUUAUCCUGCCUCAGCAAUCCCAAGUAGCUGGGAUUAUAGGCACCCGCCACUAUGCCUGGCUAAUUUUUUGUAUUUUUAGCAGAGACGGGUUUCACCAUGUUGGUCAGGCUGGUCUCGAACUC